UAGGGAAUCUUCCGCAAUGGGCGAAAGCCUGACGGAGCAACGCCGCGUGAGUGAUGAAGGUCUUCGGAUCGUAAAACUCUGUUAUUAGGGAAGAACAAAUGUGUAAGUAACUAUGCACGUCUUGACGGUACCUAAUCAGAAAGCCACGGCUAACUACGUGCCAGCAGCCGCGGUAAUACGUAGGUGGCAAGCGUUAUCCGGAAUUAUUGUGCGUAAAGCGCGCGUAGGCGGUUUUUUACGUCUGAUGUGAAAGCCCACGGCUCAACCGUGGAGGGUCAUUGGAAACUGGAAAACUUGAGUGCGGAAGAGGAAAGUGGAAUUCCAUGUGUAGCAGUGAAAUGCGCAGAGAUAUGGAGGAACACCAGUGGCGAAGGCGACUUUCUGGUCUGUAACUGACGCUGAUGUGCGAAAGCGUGGGGAUCAAACAGG
rnacentral:rRNA from 1 species